AUUAGGGAUGGAGUCUGCAGGAGCUUGUGAAACAACCAAUUCCCCAUACUGUUUGGCUCUCAGCAUCCACAGACCAUCUGGAUCAGCUGACACUUGCUCUUGCUUUGUCUGUUGGCUUGGAGUGACAUGGUCGGCGGAUCGGAGAGCAAAGGAAGGAAAGCCAAAGAAAAUUUUCACUAACGGCUGCCCUUUGUAUGUUGUCUCCAAUUCUCAAGGCGAAGCAGAAGCAGAGAGGCAGACCUGCCCAAGUGCAGAGAACCCCGAGCGGGACUCUGAGGUCCUGGAAGACGACGGAGCUGCUAGGAAACGCCUGGGGCCCUGAACAGAAUGGCCCCUGCCCUUGACUCACACUGGACCGUGACAUGAGUCAAAGAUAAGCUUUGUUGUGUUGAGCCACUGAGUUUCUGGGGCUGUUUGUUACAGCAGUUAGGCGAUUCUGAUUAAUAUGCACAUCCAUGAGGGUGUGUGAUAAGAUCAUCCUGGUCAGGGGGAGAGAUAAUGGGAUUUGGCAGGGGUGUUUCCAUGGGGAGAUGUGGAGGUGCCUUCUGGGGAUGGAGAGGUAAGGUUUAAUUGGCCAUCCUAAACUGAGGAAAGGGAACCAGUGUGUGUGUGUGUGUGUGUGUGUGUGUGUGUGUGACUUGGAGUAAACAUCCUUCUGGUGGGGCCCUUUCUGAACUGUAAU